AAAAGCUUGAGUACAAUCAUUAUUCAGGAUCUCGGUCAUUUGUUGCAACAAUGACUAUACCGGUAAUAUGUUUUUGAGUAUGUACUGGCUAUAUUUUUAGUGAACUGCCUGUGAAACAGUCUAUGGGAUAGUUUUGACUAUUGUAAAAUAGAUAAUUUGCUGCAAGUAGAUUUUUUAUUCUAGUUUGCUGCGAGUAUAUU
rnacentral:lncRNA from 1 species